UGUGCAGAGAAGGGGCAUGCAGAUGCAGCAUCUGCACAAACUCUGCUGGAGGUAUCGUCCAUAAUUUUUGAUUCCUCAUCCUCUUCUCAGCCAAAGGCAGUAGCAGUAGCUCAGGAUACCAUUGAGUUCUCCGAACCAUCAAGGCGCUGCCUUUCCUUGUCUCCUAUCUCACGCAUUUGGUCCCGGCUGAUGUGUCAAUGGGGACUCACAUUUUACAUCAGGGUCGAUCUGCAGGAUCUGUCCACACAUAUCCUGAUCUGGGUGGGCCAUUCCCAAGCUUACAGGAAACUCACAAUGCUAUCGAUCGCCAUCUUGAAGGCCGUCGGCAUCCAAAACUGUAAAGUUCCUCAACUGUGCUCUAGAUUUUUGUGGCUGAAGCAAGAUGGUGUUUCUGAUAUGGAUAUUAUUGUAAGGCAAAGCAUUUACUGGCCUGAUGGCUCAAUCAAGAAGCGUACAAAAUCAUAUGCAACUGAGAAGACCCAUAAGAGAAUGUGCCAAUUGGUUCAAGCUUUAGUGGACAAGUAUAAUGAGGAUCACAAUCUUUUUGGGGAUCUGGCACAUAUGCUCCAAGAUGUUUUGCACUACCAAUCAGUUCGUGACAAAUUUAUGGGGUACUAUCAUCUCAAUUUCACUACAAAGACUAAAGAAGCAGAUGAUUUAGAUGCUGGCAUCGACAAUCUAUUCUUUGUGGAAAUCAGACGUUCGGGAAGAGGAAAACAUGAGGAAAUGUUGGUCAACUGUUUCUGCAUGGUUAAUCCUACUGACAAUGAUGAAGAUAAGAUAUGCUAUGGUUGUGCCAACCAAGGAAGUGUUGAUAUGAAGCACCCUGACCCUUGCAAAUAUGAUGGUGGUCACUUGGAUAUGGGUAGGCCAUUUGAAUGUGUUGAAGAGUGGAGUGACUCUGAAGAUGAUGCUGAAUAUGUGAAAACUAAGGAGGCUAAGAUAAGGCAUAUGUACGAGGUAAUUGUCAUAUUUUGGGCGGUAUGGGCCUUUGAUGAUCCAGGUGUUGUGGAGGAACUAUCCACCGACUGA
rnacentral:lncRNA from 1 species